CCUACGUGUGGCAGCAGUGAGGAAUAUUGGUCAAUGGGCGCGAGCCUGAACCAGCCAAGUAGCGUGAAGGAUGACUGCCCUACGGGUUGUAAAAUUCUUUUAUAAAGGAAUAAAGUGAGGCAAGUGUGCCUGUUUGUAUGUACUUUAUGAAUAAGGAUCGGCUAACUACGUGCAAGCAGCCGCGGUAAAACGGAGAAUACGAGGGUUAUCCGGAUUUAUUGGGUUUAAAGGGAGCGUAGAUGGGUUGUUAAGUCAGUUGUGAAAGUUUGCGGCGCAACCGUAAAAUUGCAAUUGAUACUGGCAGCCUUGAGUACAGUUGAGGUAGGCGGAAUUCGUGGUGUAGCGGUUACAUGCUUAGAUAUCACGAAGAACUCCGAUUGCGAAGGCAGCCUACUAAACUGCCACUGACAUUGAUGCUCGAAAGUGUGGGUAUCAAACAGGAUUAGAUACCCCGGUAGUC
rnacentral:rRNA from 1 species